rnacentral:lncRNA from 1 species
GGGCCACACCUGCAGCAUGUGGAAGUCCCCAGGCUCAGGGUCGAAUGGGAACUGUAGCUGCCGGCCUACACCACAGCCACAGCAACAUGGGAUCCAAGUCUGUGACCUACACUGCAGCUCACAACAAUGCUAGAUCCUUAAUUCACUGUGUGAGGCCAGGGAUCGAACCCCCUUCCUCAUGGAUACUAGUCGGGUUCAUUACUGUUAAGCCGCCACGGGAACUCCAGUUUUCUUUUUUUUUUUUUUUUUUUUUUUUUUUUGAUAGUAGCCAGCUUAAUGGGUGUGAGGUAGAUUUUCACUGUAGCUUUAAUUUGCAUUUCCCUAAUGAUGAGUGACACUGAGCAUCUUUUCAUGUGCUUACUAGCCAUUUAUCUAUCUUCUUUGGAGAAAUGUCUAUUGACGUCCUUUGUCCAUUUGAAAUAUACUGCCUUUUUUUUUUUUUUAAAUGGCCACACCCAUAGCAUAUGGAUUAGUUUUGGGAUUAAAUGUGACCUAUAUUGGGGUGAUGCAGAUUCUUUAACCCACUGUGCUGGGCUUGGGGAAUCGAACCCAUACCUCUGCAGCAACCCAAGCUGCCAUAGUGGGAACUCUGAGAUAUGCUUUUAAGUAUAAAAUAUACUUGGGAUUUCCAAGGCUUAGUAUGAAAAAAUGCAAAAUGUCUCAUAGCCUUUCAAAAACAGACUACAUGUUGAGACAAUACUUUGAGUAUACUGGAUUAAAAAUUAUUAAAAAUAUCACUUGUCAUUUUUUAAAAAGCGGCCACUGGAAACAUAAAACAGAUUAUUCGAAGAUAUUAUACUAAGCAAAAUAAGCCAGUCACAAAAGGACAAAUACUAUCAAUUACGACAUUUAUAAAAUCAAUUACCAAUUACUAAAAUUAUAAUCACACUGACUUAAAAAUUUUUUUCCUUUGCCUUCUUAGGCCUCACCUGUGGCAUAUGGAAGUUCCCAGGCUAGGGCACUGAAUGGGAGCUGCAGCUGACAGCCUAUGCCACAGCCACAGUAAAGCCAUACCUGAGCCUUAUCUGUGACCUAUGCCGCAGCUCGCAGCAACACAGGAUCCUUAAUCCACUGAGUAAGGCCAGGGAUCGAACCUACAUCCUCAUGGAUCCUAGUCAGGUUCUUAACCUGCUGAGCCACAAGGGGAACUCCUUAAAAGCUUUAUUUUAGGAGUUCCCAUCGUGGCACAGCAGAAACGAAUCCAACUAGGAACCAUGAGGUUGUGGGUUUGAUCCCUGGCCUCGCUCAGUGGGUUAAGGAUACAGUGUUGCUGUGAGUUGUGGCGUAGGUCACAUACAUGGCUCAGAUCAUGCGAGGCUGUGGCUGUGGCUAUGGCCAGUAGCUGUAGCUCCGAUUCGACCCCUAGCCUGGGAACCUCCAUAUGCCGUGGUUGAAGCCUGAGUGCUGUCAUGUCUGGUAGGCACUGAGGCGAUGCUGCAGGUACUGAAGUAGAGAAGCCAUGCAAUUCUAAUGGCACUUGGAAAGAAUUAAUCUGGUUGCAUUCAGCAGGGCCCAUUAAAAAAAGGUCUAGAUUAAGUAGAAGAGUGGAUACCAGAUGUAGCCAUUGUCAGAAUCAGCUGAGGGAGCUGACACCCAUUCUAGACCUACCUAUUCAAUCUGAAAGGUUGGCAAAAUAGCCAGAGCCUUAGGUAUAAGGUAACAAGACAAUGAAGUGACAGCAAAAUGAAGAGGGGGAAAAAGUUCAACUAUGAAGCCUGAAACUGACAUUAAAAUUUGUGUUUUCCAUUAAGACUACAGUGGUUUCAUGGACAAAAAUUUAGCUUACCUAUCAGCCACAUAUAAACAUUUUUUCCCCCGUAACUUCAAACUUAUUACAAACUUAUUAAACUUAUUAUUAUUAUUCAAACUUAUUAAACUAAGUAUGGUGACAUAAAGAUUUCCCCUGUUAGAAAGGUGGUACAAUGUAGUGACAAAGAAUAUAGCUCUAGAGCUGGAGAGAUCUGUGUUUAAAUCCCUGCUCUGCCGCUUACUAGCUUUGAGCCUCUAAAAACGUUACUUCACCUCUGGAGGUCUGUUUCCUAUGGACACUGUUCAAAUGUCAGAAGUUUUUUUAUCAUUACCUCGAAACAGAUCAGACAUAAGAACAAUCACUUUGAAAAUUACGAGUUCAUAGCAGCAUACAAUCUUUUAAAAAGCAUGGACUAUUACUAUUUCUGAAAAUCAGAUGUAGUUGCCAUACCUGUUCCUGUACACGUUAUAAUGUGCAUUGAUACUUACACACAAUAGUGUUUUUAUACAAUCCUUCACAUUUGUGUGAGCCAUUCAUACUAUUAGAGUUAGCAUAUGACUUAAUUUUACAAGCUCGGUGGCAUUUAUAGUGGUUAGGCAACAGAACAUUCAUAAAUAGCCAAAAUGAACCUAUAAGUGACUUAGAAAUAAAAGGUGUGAUCUAGAUUUUGUUUAUUAAACAUAGACAUAUGAAAUUUGAGUUGUCUUUUGAGAAGACUUUCAGAUGAAAAGACAAGCGCAUACAACUAGGAACUGUUAUUAUUGGCUGCUGCUUGUCCUAUUUCGAGUAUUUCGAUUUCAGACAAGAACCCCAGCUGUGACCUCCAGAAUUUUGAGAACACCAACGGUUUUCAGGAUGUGCUUCUCAGAAAGUGCUAACUUAUAAGAUAUACAUACUGAUGGAGAAGAUGACACUUGAGGGACAACAUGAAAGCUGACCCUUUAUCAAUUUUAUAUAGUAGAGUUCACACAUAAAACUAUUUGAAAGGGGAAAAGAUGCCUCAUUGCUUAAAAAAGAAAAAAAAUGAUGGAGAAUAUCUCUAAUAUCCCAAUCUAGCUUUAAGGAGAAUGUACGAUGGAGGCAUUUCCCAAUUUACUCCGUUUUAAAACGCUUCCCAGCGGGGCAGGACCACAGCGGGGAGUCGAAUAUGCUGCCUGUAUACGAACUCCAGAGGCUUGGAGACGCUUGCUGGCAAUACAGGUGGACAACCUGGCCUGAGAGAAACGUGAAACAGGGAAAUCAACUAAUUAACAAUCAGGCCUAAGAAGAUAUCAGAUAUACCCAUUUAUAAUCAUUCCAGAAGCAUGCUACCGGUCUUCACAUCUAAAUGGCCUAAGAUAAAAAAAAGGUAGGUUGUUUUCAAUCCUUUAAGAAGUUUUCCAUGUUUUAUCAAAGCUACUCAAAACAAUUUCCCCAUAGUAUUGGAAAGUGAAUUUUUCCCACCAUUCUUGAAAAACAGAAUACACAAUUUAUUUGAAUCACUUCUUAUGCUUUUCUAAACUAUCUUCUAAAGCCAAGGCCUAGCAAAAGCAUUAUUAUUCUUAGAGAGGUUUUGCCGCUUGAUGGUUCAAUCCUUACACUUUCUGCAUAGAAGUUUUACUUAUAUUUUUCUUGUUUUUUAAGUAUAACUGAUCUCAAACCAGGAUUCUAAGUAUCCCCUGCAUUAGGACACACCCAGUCUCAGUUCUCUUUCACAAGAGCAAGAAUUCUGUUAGCUUAAAAGUAUAAUACCAAUUUAACAGUUUAAUAAAUUCUAUCGUAUUUCCACCAGAUAGAAGUUUCUUCAGAUAAACCAUGUUUCAAAAGAGACCUCUCAUACAGGUUCUCAGUUACUAUCGGUUCCCACCAGAAAAGGAAAGCUUUACAGAUUUUCAAAGGAAGCACCGGUUUCCACAAGCUCUUAAAUGGAGCAUAGAGGGUUCAAAAAAGACAGAAAAGGCAAAAGAGCAAAAGAUAGCAAUUAUCUGUCUAAGCAAAUAUAACCACUCAAAGGAGAGAAGGAACAAGACUGCCCUAAACCGAAACACUGGGAAAAGCAAUGGACCAUAAACAAACCUUCUUUUUAGAUCUUUAUACAGCCAACCUCAAACCUGAUACAGUAGCUACUUCAACUAAUUACCAUCAGCACAAUUUCUGCUGUAAAGAAGCUAGUGUAGCCCACGGGAUCCGUGAAUGUUAGCUGACAUACAAGCACUAUGAAGUUAUGAAGCACUCAUUUGAGCCCUCAUUAGGCAAACAGUUCACAGGAGCACCAUAAAAGCCUGUGCUCCAAACACGGAC